rnacentral:rRNA from 1 species
AUUGAACGCUGGCGGCAGGCCUAACACAUGCAAGUCGGACGGUAGCACAGAGAGCUUGCUCUCGGGUGACGAGUGGCGGACGGGUGAGUAACGUCUGGGAAACUGCCCGAUGGAGGGGGAUAACUACUGGAAACGGUAGCUAAUACCGCAUAACGUCGCAAGACCAAAGUGGGGACCUUCGGGCCUCACACCAUCGGAUGUGCCCAGAUGGGAUUAGCUAGUAGGUGGGGUAAUGGCUCACCUAGGCGACGAUCCCUAGCUGGUCUGAGAGGAUGACCAGCCACACUGGAACUGAGACACGGUCCAGACUCCUACGGGAGGCAGCAGUGGGGAAUAUUGCACAAUGGGCGCAAGCCUGAUGCAGCCAUGCCGCGUGUAUGAAGAAGGCCUUCGGGUUGUAAAGUACUUUCAGCGGGGAGGAAGGCGGUGAAGUUAAUAGCUUCACCGAUUGACGUUACCCGCAGAAGAAGCACCGGCUAACUCCGUGCCAGCCGCCGCGGUAA